AAUUGGGUAGUUUUUGUUGUAGCUUUUGAAUUUUGAUGCGAUAUUUGAGCUACCAAUUUAAGGUUAGGUAAGGUCUUGCAUCAGGGAAGUCGGACGGAACAAGGAUGAAAGAUUGAGAAUACUGGCUAACUCUUGCAUUAGAGGAAGUUGGACGGAAUAAGGAUGAAAGAUUGAGAAUACUGGUUAACUCUUGCAUUAGGGAGGUGGACGGAAUAAGGAUGUAAGAUUGAGAAUACUGGUUAACUCUUGCAUUAGGGAGGUGGACGGAAUAAGGAUGAAAGAUUGAGAAUACUGGUUAACUCUUGCAUUAGGGAGGUGGACGGAAUAAGGAUGAAAGAUUGAGAAUACUGGUACAACCCUUGUCAAUAAAGUGUUACUUCCCUCCACAAUUUCUCUGAAAGGUUAAUACUUGGAUUACCAUUACUCUCAUUGCAUUGACAUUCACAAGAACUACACUAGAAAAAAAAAAACUAAUGCAUAAAUAAACUAAAAAAAAAAAACAUCAUGAAUAUUAAAAAAAAAAACCUGGAAAAUUUGCAAGACCAUUACAAGUGAUUGAGUUCCUCAUCCUACACAAGCAAUGAGGCAGGAGGCGCUGCUUGUAGAUCAGUUUACCCUAUACUGACUAUAUUUAGGCGAGGCAAGGUAAAAGAACACCUGGGAAGACUGGCACAGGUAAAAACCAGUAAAAAUACAAUAUACUUGAGAUGGGACGUAAUGUAAGCUUGAUAUAACGAGGUGCAGGUGUAAAAAUUACUGCCUUUGUUGAGAGAGAGAGAGAGAGAGAGAGAGAGAGAGAGAGAGAGAGAGAGAGAGAGAGAGAGAGAGAGAGAGAGAGAGAGAGAGAGAGAGAGA